rnacentral:rRNA from 1 species
AUAGCGUAUAUUGAAGUUGUUGCAGUUAAAAAGCUCGUAGUUGGAUCUGAGGUGGGAGUCGUCGGUUCAGCUCACGCUGCGACUGUACGUGCUCUACCUUACACAGUCAUUAGACGCUCUGUGGUGCUCUUUACUGAGUGCUAUGGAGUGCAUGGCACGUUUACUUUGAAAAAAUUAAAGUGCUCAAAGCAGGCCUCAGUGCUUGUAUACUCUUGCAUGGAAUAAUGGAAUAGGACUUCGGUUCUAUUUUGUUGGUUUUCGGACCCGGAGUAAUGAUUAAAAGAGACUGCCGGGGGCAUUUGUAUGGUGGCGUUAGAGGUGAAAUUCUUGGAUCGCCGCCAGACAAUCUACUG